rnacentral:rRNA from 1 species
AUUGAACGCUGGCGGCAUGCCUUACACAUGCAAGUCGGACGAGUGGCGAACGGGUGAGUAACGCCUCGGCACGUGCCGAAUAGUGGGGGAUAACUGUCAGAAAGGAUAGCUAAUACCGCAUACUAUUCGAACUGCCGAUGUCGGGUUAGCUGGUUGGUGGGGUAAAGGCCCACCAAGGCGACGAUCAGUAGCUGGUCUGAGAGGAGGAGCAGCACCGCUUGGACUGAGACACGUCCCAGACUCCUACGGGAGGCAGCAGUGGGGAAUAUUGGACAAUGGGCGCAAGCCUGAUACAGCCAUGCCGCGUGUCUGAAGAAGGCCUUCGGGUUGUAAAGUACUUUUGUCAGGGAGGCGGUACCCGAAGAAUAAGCACCGGCUAACUACGUGCCAGAAGCCGCGGUAAUAC